UUUUCUUCUACAAAUUUUCUCCUAAAUAAUUUGUAUGAACAGUUAUUGCUCUUCAGAGCAUUUGUGAGCACUUCCCUGUGCCUGUGAUUGAAUUUUGAGCUCUUUCAGACAGUUUUAAUUGGGUGCAUCAAUCAAGCAGCAUAAUUUCCUUUUCUAGACAUAACCUUACCAGUCCAGUCUCUUUUUCUCCACGUUGUAAUCCAUUGCCUAAUCCAGAGUGAUGGUCUCUAAUCUCUGUGGUUUGGGACAGCAUUUAGGGAUGUGCCACUUUCUAAACUGGUAAUUGCUUUCCAGAACAGAGGUAGGGAUAAUAGCAGCUUUAAUGAGUCUCUGAAUAAGCAUUUUUAGGUCAUUAAGAAGUGUAAAUUUAGGAAGUUUCUGUCCUCACCUGUCCAGUUUCUCCACUCCAGCUGAAAGCCCUGGGGCUGGUGCAGGCUGGCACUGGGGACUGAAUGUGAACUUUGGGAGAGAAAUUCAGAAUGUGAACUUUGGGAGCCUGAGAGAUCACAGGCAACCCAGCUUUUAGCUGUGCAAGUAAUGCAAGAUGGGAAAACAUUCCUCUCCUGAGAAUGGAAAUUCAGUUGGUAAAGACAGUCAAGGAAGACUCUUGAAGAAAAAGAAAGAACAAAUCUUACAUCACAUAUGAACCUGAAAUUCUGUCAAGGUGAAUCUUCAGAAAAUCUGGCAUUGAACAUCUGAAGCUGUGAAGAAGAAAUCUCUGACAUCUGUAAGAAUUCCCCAACUGCACGUGACACUGAACUUACCAGGUCUCCAUCAGCUGUGUCAGGGAAACAGCUCCAUCUUCCGGGAGGCAGCGGCCGGGGAGGGAGCGCUUCCCGCGGCUCCUUCGCCUCUUCGCGGGCUUUGUCAGCGGCGCUGCCCGUGCAGGAUCGCUGGGCUCAGCACUCGGUGUCUCGGGGCUGCUUGGCAGUGGCAGAACUGUGAAAACAAAGUAAACAGAGACUUAGCAGCCAAUCCGCGGCAAUGAAAGCAUCCCACAAAACCAGAGGCACGGCGAAGACACUCCCGAGUACCCCAAAUCCACAAUGACACGGGUGCAGAACACAAACGCCCUUUAGGAUGAUCCCUGCCACGAGCAAGUUCCGCAGCUCCCAACACAGAAAUUAGCGACACCACAUAUACAGUCAGCGCCGAGAUAGCCCAGCAAAUGCCUGACAGGAUUCUUCUCCAGCAGGUAAAGAUUGGAUGCUAGCAACUUGUUCUACAAAAUGGGGAAAACUCUCAGAGUUUGGGAUACUGCAUUUAGCAGCGUACAAAUGGCAGUUUGGGAUGGAAGCUUUGCGUUUCUUUCCAACUGAAAACGUCACAAUGUGAGUUCUCUCAUAACAAGUACCAUGAUCCACAAGGGCUGGGAAUGAGCUCCCUGAGAGAUGCUCAGGAAGCUCCUUAGGCAGGAAUCAGAGAUUUAAAUUGUGCUGUUUCAUUGGCUGUGAUUCUGCUUUAAGCAUGUGAAGUCUGACUGAAGCCAAAUAACCAAAUACCUGCAUCACCUCCCCAGGAACAUUAAUGCCAACUGUUGAGAAGUUUCUGUUAAUUAUACACAAAAUCAUUAUUUUGGUCUUAGACUUUCAGUCACUUUUCUGCAGCUUUUGACAGCC
ensembl:lncRNA